GCCAAGACAUUUAGGAUUUAUUAAGUGAAGACUCCUGGGAUCACCUGCCACAGGACUUCAGUAUUGUUCAUUCUUUUUCUUUCUUCUUUCUGAAAAAAACAAACAAACAAACAAACAAAAAAAAACAACUUUUUUCAAGACAGAGUUUCUCAUGAAGUUGGGCUGACCCUGAACUUGAUAUAUGACUGAGGAGGACUUUGAACUCCUGAUCUUGCUGCCUCCACCAUUCAAGUGGUGAGACUAUAGGUGUGUACCACUCUGCCUAGCUCAUGUGGUGCUGGAGACGGAAUCUAGGACCUUGUGUAUGCUAGACAAGCAUUCUGCCAACUAAGCUACAUCCCUGGUCUGAGAAACUUUUUCUUGAUUCUCCUGUUCUCCAAAGCAUUUUUUCUAGGCUGUGGGUCAAGCCUCCCCCAAUACUCAGAAGAAGCACUAAGAGAUCUAGAUGUGUGUCUUUAGCCAUGGAGCCAUGUUAAGACAAAGGACCGCUGGAAGGGAAGGUGGUGAGAUAUACACUUUGGUCUCUGUCCUGGUUUCAGUUCUGUUCUUCUUAGUCUAAGGAGCCCAGGUAAACCCUUUUAUCUUGCUGGGCCUUUAAGGUCCUUCUUUCUCAAUAAAAAUUCCCCAAGAUGCUUUUGUGCUUAAAAAUUAGUUGGGUCUUCAUUUAUUUGUUACAUUUUUUGGGGGAGGAUUCUCACUUUUAGAUUGUUAGUAGGGUUCAGUAAAUUAAUAUUUAUGAGAUUCUUUGAAAGAGGCUUAACACACAGUCAGCACUUUAUGCCCUCUUAAAUUAAACAAACGUGCAUGGCAGCAUUGUGCAUACUCAUGUUUAUGCUGGUAACAGUCAAGGGAGCUUUUCACUAGCCAGCCGGCAUGCUCUCUAUGUUCAGAUUUCCUCGAAUUUGCAGCUCUAAGCUACAGUGACUAACAACGACGGCAGUGUUGCCUACAUAUCAAACAAAGGUGGUGUGAGGGAGAAGCUGAGGUCAUGAUGACACAGACAUGCAGGGAACGGUGCUUUUGCCAGGGGCCCAGUUCCUCUGAUGGUCCCAUAGUGCUAUUCUCUGGAUUGAGGCGAAAGGUAAAUUCCAAGAAACUAUGAUUGGGGACAUAUCUGGCAGCUAAUUGCUCUGUAAAAAUUAUUUAAGACCCCCCCACACACACACCACCCCCACUUCUGCUUAAUCAAACUUCCACAUGACCAUGUGAGGACUGGAGUUUUGAACAUAGUCCAAGGGGAAGUGACUUUAUAAGGUUGACCCCAAAUCCCUCCAGCAGCCAGGGAUCAGGCAGUGAGACGACAUGGCUGCUUUGACCAGACUUCCACCAGCAUCUGCACUGGGCUGUGACUGUGACCAUGGUCUUUUGGGUUUUUUUUUUUUUAGAAUGACAGAUUACAUUUUUUUUUUUAAAUAAAAUGCUUGUUCUUAAUGUUUUCUUGUCUGGUCUGUGUAACACAUGCCUAGAUAGCAGAGUUUCUGUUUCCUUACUGUUUCUAUUUUUAAAUAUGCAUCCACAUAAAUUUAGAUUAAUUUAAUUAAUUAGCUGAUUAGGUAUUAGAGGCCAUGAUUUGUUAAACAAAUUAAACACACUCACACUAACAAGUAUGUACUCUCUCUCCCUCUCUCUCUCUCUCUCUCUCUCUCUCUCUCUCACACACACACACACACACAC
rnacentral:lncRNA from 1 species